CUGCAUUUCACUGUUUCGUCCACCACGGCCAAUAUGCUAAAAUUUACCUUCCAGAUUUUGGGGAGGACAAGCAUGAAUCACCUGAGCUACAUAACGCAGGUCUACCCCUAUCCCUAGUGCUACUGUAGCAAUAACAACUUUCAGGGGACUCUCUAUGGGAUCCUUUGCCAAAUUCUUAAAUAUGAUAUCUUUGAGCUGAAAUUCAUUUAUUAUAAUUGAAAUGUAACAUGACUACCCUUAGAUUCUCUGCACAUUUGUGUCCAUCACCACCAUACAUACUGUCUCGAAGGAUUCUCUCGGCAAGUUCAAACCCGUAUCCCACCCAGUCCAUGCUGCCACAGCAGUAAAUCAGUGAACUGUGAGUCAUCAGUAGGUGCUGGGCAACAUUUUUCUGGCCAUCUUUUGACAAAGUAGCACUUAAUCCCAGCACUUGAGCAUCC